GAUGAACGCUGGCGGCGUGCUUAACACAUGCAAGUCGAACGGUGAAGCCAAGCUUGCUUGGUGGAUCAGUGGCGAACGGGUGAGUUACACGUGAGCAACCUGCCCUGGACUCUGGGAUAAGCGCUGGAAACGGCGUCUAAUACUGGAUAUGAGACGUGAUCGCAUGGUCAACGUUUGGAAAGAUUUUUCGGUCUGGGAUGGGCUCGCGGCCUAUCAGCUUGUUGGUGAGGUAAUGGCUCACCAAGGCGUCGACGGGUAGCCGGCCUGAGAGGGUGACCGGCCACACUGGGACUGAGACACGGCCCAGACUCCUACGGGAGGCAGCAGUGGGGAAUAUUGCACAAUGGGCGGAAGCCUGAUGCAGCAACGCCGCGUGAGGGAUGACGGCCUUCGGGUUGUAAACCUCUUUUAGCAGGGAAGAAGCGAAAGUGACGGUACCUGCAGAAAAAGCGCCGGCUAACUACGUGCCAGCAGCCGCGGUAAUACGUAGGGCGCAAGCGUUAUCCGGAAUUAUUGGGCGUAAAGAGCUCGUAGGCGGUUUGUCGCGUCUGCUGUGAAAUCCCGAGGCUCAACCUCGGGCCUGCAGUGGGUACGGGCAGACUAGAGUGCGGUAGGGGAGAUUGGAAUUCCUGGUGUAGCGGUGGAAUGCGCAGAUAUCAGGAGGAACACCGAUGGCGAAGGCAGAUCUCUGGGCCGUAACUGACGCUGAGGAGCGAAAGGGUGGGGAGCAAACAGGCUUAGAUACCCUGGUAGUCCACCCCGUAAACGUUGGGAACUAGUUGUGGGGACCAUUCCACGGUUUCCGUGACGCAGCUAACGCAUUAAGUUCCCCGCCUGGGGAGUACGGCCGCAAGGCUAAAACUCAAAGGAAUUGACGGGGACCCGCACAAGCGGCGGAGCAUGCGGAUUAAUUCGAUGCAACGCGAAGAACCUUACCAAGGCUUGACAUACACCAGAACGGGCCAGAAAUGGUCAACUCUUUGGACACUGGUGAACAGGUGGUGCAUGGUUGUCGUCAGCUCGUGUCGUGAGAUGUUGGGUUAAGUCCCGCAACGAGCGCAACCCUCGUUCUAUGUUGCCAGCACGUAAUGGUGGGAACU
rnacentral:rRNA from 1 species